rnacentral:rRNA from 1 species
AAUGAACGCUGGCGGCAUGCCUAACACAUGCAAGUCGAACGAGACCUUCGGGUCUAGUGGCGCACGGGUGCGUAACGCGUGGGAAUCUGCCCUUGGGUUCGGAAUAACUCGCCGAAAGGCGUGCUAAUACCGGAUGAUGACGUAAGUCCAAAGAUUUAUCGCCCAAGGAUGAGCCCGCGUAGGAUUAGCUAGUUGGUGGGGUAAAGGCCCACCAAGGCGACGAUCCUUAGCUGGUCUGAGAGGAUGAUCAGCCACACUGGGACUGAGACACGGCCCAGACUCCAACGGGGGGCAGCAGUGGGGAAUAUUGGACAAUGGGCGAAAGCCUGAUCCAGCAAUGCCGCGUGAGUGAUGAAGGCCUUAGGGUUGUAAAGCUCUUUUACCCGGGAUGAUAAUGACAGUACCGGGAGAAUAAGCCCCGGCUAACUCCGUGCCAGCAGCCGCCGUAA